ACGUAUUUAAACGCACGCGUGCACGUACGAUCAACAGAGAAUAAGUAACGGCGUAUUUCGUUAAAACAAUCUUGCCGCGUUUGUAAUUAAUGAAAUAAAAAUACGAGAAUUUACGGGCGAGGUGGCAUUACGAAUUGGUAGUUCAAGAGACCAACACAUUUAUUUAACGAAGUGGAAAUUGCUUUCGGAAUAAGAUCGGGUAUAGGGUAUAGUUAGUAAUAUACGCAGUGUGAUAGAAGCCUCUAUUCGUCAAAAUGAGUUUUCAACCGCAGUAAUACAGAGUUCCAAGAACCGAUGGGGACAACAAUCGGCUAAUUUCCAAGGCAUUUCCAAGAUCUCUUACAACUUUUAUUACAACCGUAACGAAACAAACCUAUGCACCAGAAGACCAACUAGGAAUGGGGCGGGAGAUAGAUUCGUUUACUUACGUCCUUUAUGUAUCGUUACGGUUGGUGGGAGGGCAUUGGGAUCCUGCGGCACGUAACUCCCGGUAUUUGGAUCCAGACGCGGCAAGUUCUGUCUUUUGACAGAAGUACUCGGCACGGACGAUCCAGGCGUUGGUAUAAUCAUACUUGCCAAUUUCCGUUAUAGGUGCAUAAAACCAAAACAAACAGGAAGGAACGGGGCCAAUGACAAGGUGAAACGUUUUAAGGAGAUCGAAAAUAAAGAAUAAUAUUGCACAUGGAGAUGGGAAUAUAACCUCAACUCAAAGAACUAAAACGUAAUGCAGGGUAUGUUAGGUACAGAUUACAACAUAGAGUUAUCACCUCUAUGUCUCUACAGAGUUAUUGCGUGUCAAUCAUUUAGUAAUUAAUCGCUUCAGAAUUAUAAAAAAUUCAACAUCCUCUGAAAGCUAUCGGAGCAAAAUUUAGUUCGAGUGCUUAAGCAAGUUGUAUAAUACAGCAAGUCCUUGAGUUAUACAGUGAAUUUUUAAAUAUGGGUUGUGCUCUUUACUUAUAUCCUCGUACAAAGUUUUUAAAAAUAUAAGGUUGUCUCAGGAUAAAAGUUUUAGAAUGAAUUAACGACAUAAGCCAAAGACUGACAGUAUAACAACUCAAACGUUUAUGAAACAUCAACAACUUUUGACUGAAAAAUAUAUUCAUUUGCAAUCCAGAUAAACUUUCCAGGCACGUAUUUCAUUCUUUUUGCACCAUGUAAGUCUAAAAUCAUUUAAUGUUACAUGUAAUUUU